rnacentral:rRNA from 1 species
UACGGAGGGUGCAAGCGUUAAUCGGAAUUACUGGGCGUAAAGCGCACGCAGGCGGUUGUUUAAGUCUGAUGCGAAAUCCCCGGGCUUAACCUGGGAAAUGCAUCUGAUACUGGUCAGCUAGAGUCUUGUAGAGGGGGGUGGAAUUCCAGGUGUAGCGGUGAAAUGCGUAGAGAUGUGGAGGAAGACCGGUGGCGAAGGCGGCCCCCUGGACAAAGACUGACGCUCAGGGGCGAAAGCGUGGGGAGCAAACAGG